AAGUCGUAACAAGGUUUCUGUAGGUGAACCUGCAGAAGGAUCAUUAGUGAAGAUUUGGGCAGGCCAUACGGACGCCAAAAAGUGUCCCUGGCCGCCUACACCCACUAUACAUCCACAAACCCGUGUGCACUGUCUUGGAGAAAGGCUUCAGAGAAGUUUUUUGUGGCCUCUCUUGGGGUCAUUCUUCGCUACAAACUCGAAUGGUUAGUAUGAACGUGGAACUUGGUUGGACCGUCACUGGCCAACAAACUAUACACAACUUUCGACAACGGAUCUCUUGGUUCUCC
rnacentral:misc_RNA from 1 species